GGGGAAUUAGCUCAGCGGUACGAGCGUUCGACUCCAGUCCAAUGGGCAAGGCAUCGAUUGGUCACCUGUUCAAUCCGGGUAUUCCUCA
rnacentral:tRNA from 1 species